AAGUGGCACUCCCCUUUCAAUAUUUUUAUUGGGUGUUUCCUAAUAUCCCUUGGAUUUCACAAUUUAGUGUUUUAACCGGGCAGACAAUUUCUUCACUCAUUUUGAAUUUUGAAAACUGACUACUUGUCUCUCUUCCUCUCUUCUCGUCUCUCUUUCCCUCCCCCAACCCUAGCAGAACCAAUACUUUCCCCUCAUCUCUCUCAUCAGAUCUGGGAACCUCCACACUCCCUUCAUCAACCUCGGCGUAUUUUCAGACUCGUCGGAGGCACAGAUUUUCAUACUUUAAUCAAUAUCACUUUCAUUUCACUCUUCAUCCCUCCAGACUUCUUCCUUGUCGCAUAAACCCUUCAGAGCAAAAUAUCACCUCCAAUUCAGCUGUCUCGGCCAAAAGGUAACAUCGUUCUUCAUCCCUUCCGAGUUCUUCCGUUUUACAUCUUUCCUUCCUUCUUGGUGUUCACUUUUUAAGGGUAGUUUUUGUAAGUGCAUCACAUCCCCUUACUAUCCUUUAUCUUCAUGUCUCUCUCUCAAAGAAUUUUUGAAUAAUGUAAAUUUCUGAAAGCAAUAUUUGAACAUUAGACAUAUGAAUCUCAAAGAAGGAUAAAUGAAAGUUGUGAGAUGGUGAAGUUGCAACAUGACAUAUCUAUUCGUUGAUUCUCGCAGUAGUGGAAAACAAUAAGGGGUAUGGUUUGAUUUCUUAUCAUUACAUCUUUCUUUGUUUUUUGAAUCUCUUUUUUUAUCCUAUUGUCUUUAGAUACUACAGGGAAUACAAGACCGUCACCAGAUUUUGAUGAUGAAGAUUAUUUUUUGAGUAUCUUUUUUAUCCUGUUGUCUUUAGAUACUACAGGGAAUACAAGACCAUCACCAGAUUUUGAUGAUGAAGAUUAUGACAAUGAUCCUUUUGCACCAAAGAACGUUACUUGUAAUCUAUUAUGAAAUUGUUGUAUUUUGCUUAGUAUAUUAUGGAUUAUGGUAUUCUGUCAGGAAGUUGAUUGUGUUGGUUUAAUAGUUUAUGAAUACGUGAUUAUGGUAUUUUGUCGGUUAGAGAUUAGCAACAACUCUGUUUGGUUUUAGGUUUGAAAUUGUAAAAACUGAAUGUAAUUAACGAUUUAAAUGAUGUUCUUGCAGAGAUUAGCAAUGAUGUUCUCGUAGGUUGAAAGAGUUUCUCUUAGAGAUGACUUGCAGAGCUUUGUGCAGAAUAAUUUUUGAAUAAAUUUUAAUGAUGUUGUUUUUGUUGUAGACUAUCAAUCAUGCUGCAAUUUACACGCCGGCAGAUUAUAAUACGCGGCCACUGGACACUAUUUUCAGUAAUUCCAUUGAUGUGAUUCCAGUGGACCCCAAUAUUACAUGCUCAAUGAAGAUGUGAGUCCUUGUAUUUUUAGUCCAGUUUAGAAACAAAUUGAUGGUCUUAUGCAUGUGCAAAGCAAAUGACAGACAGACUAAUUUAUGAAGUUUAAACUGUGUAUGAAAAUGGCAGCUCCUCAAAUUUCCAGCAUAUUCAUCAGGUGCACUUUUCAGGCCGAAUUCUCUAAUAAGCUUUAACAUGAGAGGAAUUUGCCCUUCAAUACUGACUUGGCUUGCUCAGAAUCAAUACAUCAACAGCUAAGGUUCCAAUGCCACUAACACAAGAUUAACUUGCUCUUUCCUUCUAUGUCAAUGCAUUUUAUUGGGGUUUUGAUAUGUUAGUAAAGUUAGACAAAACAUUUGAUAAAGCUCCUGGUUUUGGAUGUGGCUUAAAUCUGGAAAUAAAUGCAUCACUUAUCCUUAUACUCAUGAGUUUUUCUUUAUGGCGAAGCUUCCAAAACCUCACGCCGAAAACUCAUGUGUGCAUAUGUAAACGGUAAACCAAACAUGACUUGAACAUUAUUCACCGCAAACAGAUUCUUUUCUGACUUAGUAAGUCAAAACAUCAACUUUCACAAUACAUUGACCUGAUUGAUCAGACAACGUUUGGGCAUCAGUUCAUCAAAAAUGAGUUUGGUAAGAUUCCAAGAGUUGGCUGGCAGAUUGACCAGUUUGGCCAUUCUGCUGUUCAGGCGUACUUGCUUGGAGCUGAGGUAUGAUAUGUUAUGUUAUUGCUUCUUACUACUUGUCAAUGUAACAUGCUUGAAUGCACUAGAUUUGAUCACUUGAAAAUUAGAAUACUAUUAUAACUUGAGUCAUUGUACAUUCGUAUAAAAGUUGCACUGUGUCACUGAAUUUUCAAGUUUUAUCUAUGUGAUUGUGUCAAUGCAGUUGCUAGGAUUUGAUUCCCUCUUUUUUGUUAGAAUCGAUUACCAAGAUAGAGCCAAGCGAUUAACGGAAAAAACUCUUGAGAUUGUAUGGUAGGGUUCCAAGUCUCUUGGUUCAUCUUCACAAGGAAAGGUAAUGAAACACUAGGAACAUUCACUGCAUCAUAAUAAGAACUGAGUUGAAGCAGCUUCAUUGAGCUUUGUAAGAGUAAGCAAGAAAAGGUAAGAAGUAAGCAGCUUCAUUUUGUUGCAAUUCUGAUAUUGCAAUGUACAUGCUUCUGAUACAUAUGGUACAUUUAACAUGAAACUAUUAUCAAGACGACAUGGCUCAUAUACUAUAAUAUCGUUGCAUUUAAGCGGAGCUCUGGGUCGUGUUUAAAUAAGAUAAGGUUCGUCUCGGCUUAGGUAGUGGUGAAGUUGAUUUUGUGCAAAAAUGUGACAUUGUCGAGAUUUAGCUUGGGCUGUUGCAGGGUCUAUUUUGUGCCAAAAUGCGACAUUGUCGAAAAUCUGAAACAUAUUGGUUGUGAUAGAACUUCUGCACAACGGACCGGCAUGUUGGAACUAAUUAAAUCUAAAGUCUUAGGCGUUUAUUGUGGUGUUUGGCAAAUGAUAUGUGGCUUAUUUAUCUAAUGAUUAUGAGUAAGAGGUGAUUUUGCUUCCUUUCUAAAUAUUCAAUUCGUGUUUAAAUUUUCUGUUGUAUUUUUGGUGCUGGAAUAGUUCUUGUGGAGUUUGUGUAUGUUGGCAAUAUGUUUGUGAACAAUCCUUUAUAACCGGUGCUCAAUAACUCUAAAUUUUUUUUAGUACAUUAUCAUAAUUUCAAGCAGAAAUUAAUACUAUGUUUUUGUGCCUACAUCUACUAUACUUUAACAUGAAGUCAUCUGGUCUACUUUAACUAUUUUAUGCCAUUGAUUCAUUUUAGUUGUGAGUGAGGAGAGGAGAAUGUUUUAAAUGUAUAUUCAAAUGAAAAACUAUUUUCUCGAUACUUCAUGUAUAAUAAAGCCAAUAUUGUAUCGAUUAACCGUCCUCGCAAAAAUUAGUGUUUUAUAUUUAUUCACGAAAGUUUACAUUGUACUUGGUCUAGGUAUUAUAUAUUAUUAUAUAUAAUGUCUUAAGUUUGGUUUUUAGAUUAUCAUUAAAGUAAUUGUGUGUGUGUUUGGUAACUGAUGAAGUUCUAACUAUCAUCACUUUUUAAAUUAUAAAAUAUUAACUUUUGCAUAAAAUUAAUUAAUUAAAUAUAUUAUUAUAUUAUAUUGAAAAUUAUAUUAAAUUUUGUUAAUAAUUUGUGUUACACCUACAACUAUUUAUA